UACGUAGGGGGCGAGCGUUGCCCGGAUUCACUGGGCGUAAAGCGCGUGUAGGCGGUCUGUUAAGUCGGAUGUGAAAUCUCCGGGCUCAACCCGGAAACUGCAUCUGAUACUGGCAGACUUGAGGAUGGUAGAGGUCGGUGGAAUACCAGGUGUACCGGUGAAAUGGGCAGAUAUCGGGAGGAACACCUAUGGGCGAAGGCAGCUCGCUGGGACGUUAACUGACGCUGGAGACGCGAAAGCGUGGGGGAGCAAACAGG
rnacentral:rRNA from 1 species